CCUACGGGAGGCUGCAGUGAGGAAUAUUGGUCAAUGGGAGAGAUCCUGAACCAGCCAAGCCGCGUGAGGGAAGACGGCCCUAUGGGUUGUCAACCUCUUUUGUCGGAGAACAAAACCCGGGACGUGUCCCGGACUGCGUGUAUCCGAAGAAAAAGCAUCGGCUACCUCCGUGCCAGCAGCCGCGGUAAUACGGAGGAUGCGAGCGUUAUCCGGAUUUAUUGGGGUUAAAGGGUGCGUAGGCGGUCCGUUAAGUCAGCGGGAAAAUUGCGGGGCUCAACCCCGUCGAGCCGUUGAAACUGGCAGACUUGAGUUGGCGAGAAGUACGCGGAAUGCGCGGUGUAGCGGUGAAAUGCAUAGAUAGCGCGCAGAACUCCGAUUGCGAAGGCAGCGUACCGGCGCCAGACUGACGCUGAGGCACGAAAGCGUGGGGAUCGAACAGGAUUAGAUACCCUUGUAGUC
rnacentral:rRNA from 1 species